UACAUAACGAUGCUACUGCCUUGACUGAUGCCUUGAUUAGAUUGAAAAGUGAGAUGAUAGUGUUAAAAGUGCGUUUUAUAGGUAGACGUUCACGGUAACAGCCCUUGUUUCUAGAUCUGCAAGGCAAAUAAUCCCACCACCUACAAGUUUCAACAAUGGGAAGCAAUGUAUCUAAGAAGAGGCGAAGAUCUUCUAUGUCAGAUGCUGAAGCACGCUCAAGGCUGCAGAGAAAAAUUUGUCUUGCAGAGGAAACACCAGAGCCUGUCUAUGACCUUUCAAACUGCUUGUUGCGCACCAUACCUCCAGGAACAUACGCCAAGUGCAAAGUGCUCCGCAAGCUGCAGCUUCUUUUGCAGG